rnacentral:lncRNA from 1 species
UCCUUAAAUUUAAUAUUAUUAUAAAAUAUCAAAACCCUAACUAUCCCCACCAAAUUUCCCGAAAUCAGACUUGGCCUCUUUCUCUCCUCACCAUCGUCGCGCCCUGCCACUGCCGUCACGACUCGCCGCCACGACCAGCGCCGCUGCCACGCCGGCCGUUUGCUCGGCCGGACUCUACCAUCGUUUCCCCUAAAUCGGUUCCCGAUCUCAGGUUUAGGGUUCCGCCGAGCAAGAUUUUGAAGAAGGCGUCGGACGGCGCGGUCGUCUCCUGCCUGCGGAUUGCCACUCCCGUCGACCAGAUACUAUUUCAAACCAGAAGCUGCUCGUCGCUCCCACUCCAACGCCUAAAUCGCAGCCGCGCAGGUUUCAUUUCGCUCUAUUCUUUCAAUUCACCUCUUGCUCUGCGUUCUUCGAUCAUGCUUCUGUUUGUAUUUCUACCGUGCUUGUGUGUUUGUCUAAUAGCUUUACACUUUGAUUCGUUGCAGCAAUUUUAUCAUCUCCUACCAGGAGUAAGCCUUGAUUUAUGACUGCAUUGUGUCUAAGAUAAAUAAAGUAAUUCCAAAAUCCGCUUCGGUUUCCCUUGUUUUGCUGUUUAUUUUGUCGGUUAAUUCAUGCCUGCGGCCGAAGUUCUGAGGCUGAUGAUUCGUUUUCAGGUUUUCCUUUGUUGUGUUUGUGAGUGAAUUUAAUAUAUUGUGGAGAGAUUUGUCUGUUUGUUCAUGCUUUACUGAAAGUAGCACUAUCCUAAUUCGAUGAGGAUUAGUUAAGUUCGUGAUAAAUUGGUAUGCAGAGUAGAUAAAUUGUUUUCCUUUUACCAUCUAAUAUUAAGAUUUAGUUCUGAAGGGGAAAAAAAAUAACAUAUGAGUCUCAAAUUGUAAAUUGUAACCAUCGACGCAUAAGCAGCACCGAACUGCUUCUUAGCUGGUUUACUCAUUUGGAUUUCAGAUUAGCUAUGUACAAUAAGUCAUUAUGCAUGUUUAUGCACAUAUGUCUGAAUUCAAAGCAUUAGGGCAUAUUUCGAGUCAUGUGACCAGUUUGUUAUAUUAGCUUGAGAUGCUGUUAGUUUAUGUAUUUAAUUUUUUUAUGCAAAGUGAAUAUGGGGGAUCAGGAUGAAUUUUUCUGCUUUAUUGGGAAUUUAUCAUGGUCAACAUCAGAUAGAGUAUUGAAGCAGGCAUUUGAGAAGUUUGGUCAUUCAUCCACUUAUCGCAGUUGAUUGGUGUUUUCUUGUUUCCACCUUUUGCAACAUUGAUACUAUUUCAAUUAAAAUUGUCUACAGAUUAUUACAUUAUGCUUCUUAAAUUAAUUUUAGUUUGCUACUUCAGCUGGUUUAGUGGAAGUUUGCAGAUACUUUCUUUCAUCGGUCUACAGAUUUUAAUAGAUUAAUUCUAGUGAACAUAUUGUCCAUGACACGUAGAUUAAAGGAAUAUCUAAAAUUUGAGUUGUCACAUGAUUAAUUUCCCACUUUUAUGUAUUAUUAAGUGUGAUUGAAACUCUAACUCAAGUCGAAUUUAAAAAACAUUAAAAAUUCAUAUAUUUUUUUAACUAAAACUAUUAUUAGUUAAAUACUAAAAUUUAAAUAUACUUAGUAUAUUCAUAGAAAAUUAGCCCAUAACUAUACACAUAGGAAGUAAAAUAGACAUAAAUAAUUACUCUCAUUUCCUCACGCAACAAUCUCAAAACUUGCAAGUAAACGUCACCAUGUAUGUUGACACAAUUUGUAAGCAAUUGAAAGAUUAAUUAGCCAAACUAACCCGUAGNCAUCACCCUAUUUCGAUGAUUCCAUAAAUUCCACACGAUACAUAGUCAGAGAGCUUCCACCACUGAGAUGAAUCUUUUUGUUUUUAGAUGAAUGCCACUAAUUAUUUUUUAGGAAAGACGUCCAUUAAUCGCACAUAAUAAAGUGUAUAAAAUUACGACAGAAUUCUAUUACAAAUUAUUAAUUUAUCGAAUAACUAUUUACAUGAUAACGUAUUGCUCUUUUUUUGGGGGUACACUUACGAGUAAUAUAUAAAAUUAUAUUUUAUGCGUCGUAUUUUAAAAAAAUAGUGAUAUAUGUUAGAAAAAACAACUGCUAUAUAAACAGCACAGAAGGUUUUAAAAUCGCACACAAAAAUAUAGUAAUAACUAGUGUAUAACCCGUCGAAAUUCGACGGGAAAUUAUUAUUUAAAUUAUAUGAUAAUUAUUUUUGUAUAAUUUAAUUGUUUAUAUACUCCCUUCAUCCUGCGAAACUUGAACAAUUUUCUUUUUUGGGUUAUAUCCUAUGAAGCUUUAGCAAUUUCCUUGCAUAAGUUUUUCUCUUUAUUCACAUUUUCACUUUUUCACCUACUAUACUUAACACAAAAAAUAUUAAUUCCUUAAAACUCGUGCCAAAAAGAACCUACUAUACUUAACACAAAAAAUAUUAAUUCCUUAAAACUCGUGCCAAAAAGAAAUUGCUCAAGUUUCACGGGACAUAGGAAGUAUAAAUUAUUUUUGAAUUUAUUUAAUUUGAGGUAACAUAGUUUAAAUUAUAUUAAUCUCAACCAUAUUCCUCAAAUAUUAAAUGUUAACUUUUUGUUAGAAUAAUAGUACUUUCUUAGUCCAUAAAAAGAUGUUAUAAUUUGUCAUUUUGGUCCGUUCACAAAAGAUGUCCUAAUCUAUUUUCAGUAACAAUUUAUGACCCUCUUUCUCCCCUCACUAACUUGUAGGUCCAUUUUUUCACUCAAAAACUUAAUUAACUUUUUCCAAUUUUCUUAAUUUGUAGGUCCCUUUCUCCACUCACUAAAUAAACACACAUUUUUUAAAAAUGUGUCACUCUCCCUUAGGACUAUUUUUUCGUGGAUGGAUGGAGUAUAUCCUUUUAUAUAAGUUUUCAUUUAAUAAUAUUUUAAAAAGGUCGGUGUCAAAUUGAAGAUUUUUUUUAUGUAAAUUUGAUGGAAGGAUUAAUGUGUUACAUUUGUGUAAUUGUAUGUAGACAUAUUUUUAAUUUGGCAAUUGAAAUUUAAAUUUGAAAAUAAGAAUGAACUUAAGACCAUAUCAUCUAAAAUCCAGAAGACGACAACUAACGUUUGAACACCAGACUUUUGAGCAUCAUCCUCUAACCUUAAAUACAAAAAUGACUUUUAUGCGUCAAGUUUUUUUAACAUCACUAUCUGAAGCUUUAAAAAUCAAAGUUGACUUGUGAGAUUGUAUGAUUUGGAGCUUCUAACAUCACAACUAACUUGUAAACAUCAUUUUGUAUGGAACUUGAAAAAAUCUUGACAAACUUUUAUGCAUUAUUAGUUCUAAAUAUUAUAAUUGGGUUCCAAGAAUCAUCUCGUUUGGAGUUUAAAAUAAAUUUAACUUGUGAGUAUCAUCUCAUUUGAACUUUGAAUGACCACAAUUAAGUUACAAGAAUUAUCUUGUGUGUAGCUUUAAAGAUCAUUAUCAUCUUUAGCUAGUAAGAUCAUAACUAACUUCUAAACACCAUCUUGUAUGCAGCUUGAAAAAUCUUGACAAUUUUUUGUGCAUUAUUUCAUGUGGAGCUUGAAAUAUCAUAAUUGAGUUUCGAGCAUCAUUUCGUUUGAAAUUUGAAAGAAUAAAAUGGACUCGUGAACAUUAAUUAUCUUCAAAUCUUGAGUUUCGAGCAUCAUUCCGUCUGAAAAUUGAAAGAAAAAAUUGACUCGUGAACAUUUAUCUCGUUUGAAGUUUGAAAGACCAUAACUAAGUUUUGAAAAUCAUCUCGUGUGUAGCUUAAGAAAGUUGACACGAGAUUCAAAUUGUAUUAAUUUAUUUAGUAAUUUAAUUGAUAAAUUUUCAUAAAAAAUCUAUGUUGAAUCCAAAUUUUAUUUUUAAAAUUUUAUACAAAAUAUAUUAUUUUAUAAUCAAAUUAAAUUGAAGAAAUAAUUUACUUAAUCAAACCAAUUUAUUUUUUCAAAUUAAAUUAAUUAGACCAUGUAUUUAAUUAAAUAAAUUUGGUCAAAUUAAAUUGACAAAACAAUUCAAAUUGUAUUAGUCUCAAUCAUUCCGUCAAUUAAAUGUAGAUUUUUAAUUUGGAGAGCAAGAGCUUAUUCUUGUAUAAGUUUUAUUUUGGUGAAAUCUUAUAAAAAUAAUCAAUGUGAAAUGAGGUGAUUUAUAUGAAUUCUUCACUCGAUUGAGAUUAUUAUAAAUUUGAUACAUGAUUAAAGAUUUCUAAUAUAUUUUAACAUCAUAUCCUCUAUUGUUCUUUAUCUAAAUUCUUCAUUUAUGCAUUACUAAUUUGAUAAUUAUCAUUAUUAUUAUUAUUAUAUUAUUAUUAUAAUUAUUAUUAUUAUUAUUAUUAUUAUUAUUAUUAUUAUUAUUAUUAUUAUUAUUAUUAUUAUUAUUAUUAUUAUUAUUAUUAUCAUUAGUGAUUGUAGUGGAUGAAACUGGAACAAAUAAAGAUUUUAGAUAUGAAAAACAUAUUUUUCUUUAUGAUACAGAUAAAAUGUAUGGAUAUAGUUUAUAAAAAUAAAAUUAAAUUAAUUUUUUUUGUUACACGUAAAAUAAAAUUUUGUUUUAAAGUAAUCAGUUCAUAAAAUUUGUGCCUAAUUAUGCAAACAUGUAAAUCAAUGACCGGACUCGUUUAUAAUUUACAUACACGUGCAUGUCUCAAUUCAAAUCCAAUUUAAAAUUGAUUUUACUGAAAAUUGAGAAGAUAAAUAUUAUAUAUAAAUUCAUACAGUAUAAUAUAUUGCAGAAUAUCCAUAUAAUAUAUACGCUUUCGAGAAAUAUAAAAUUAAUAACAAAUAUACAUCCAAUUACGAACAUUCAAUUAAAAUCAUUUACCGUAUAAUUUUUUUUCUUGUCAAAUAUAUAAAUCUAAUUUUUGUCAAGAUAAAAUAAAUAAUAAAAAUUAUUAAUUUAGAUUAUGUCUAAAAUUAAUAUUAUAUAUAUGUAUAUUUACUAUUGAUUAAUACUUAUUAAUAUUAAUGAAUCUUUAUAUAGAAUGUAGUAAUUAAUUAAUUAAUAAUGAAGAAUAUAUGGUAAAUCAUUGUAAAUGCAUGAUAUUUGAGGGAUUUAAGAUAACUUAUUUUCCUAUUAUAAAGAAGAUGACCGUAACUACUAUAUACUCAUGUAGCAAUUCAACGUUUGAUUAAUCGAAUGAAAAAACUUGGGAAGUCGAUUGAACUAUCAAAAGUUUUACGCAAUUCCAUAAUUAAUCUAAUAAGUAUUCAAGUGGCUAUUUAUAUAAUACUCCCUUUGGUCGUCAAACCAAUUCCAUAAGUCAUAUACUCCACAACAACUGAAAAUUUAACAUAAAAUACGUGCAUUAUCUUUGCUUCAGUUUUCACAUCCAAAUAAUGAGAUACCCUCUCAAUUUCUUCAUUUAAACGUCGUUCAACUUUCUUCAAGUAGUCCUCACAAUCAUUACACUCUAACACAUGUGAUUCUCCUUUGUAGAAAUCAACAGAAACAUCAC